GGGAACAAAAUAUUACUUGCUGCCCCAACGAAUGAAUUGACAUUUCAUAUACCCACUGUCUGAAAAGGCCAGCCGACGCCCCAACGCUGAGGAAAAACCGAAGAAGCGGAUGACGAUGAAUUGCUGAUUAUGUAUUGGGUUGGACUCAAUUGAUGAAUAAUACAUUACUGUUGGGCUAUUGUUACGAGCAAUAGGCCAAUUUUCUAACUGUAGUGCUUUAACUUUUACCCAUGUGAUGGUCAUGAAUCCAUGAAACAUUCCUGAUACACCUACCGGGAGUACAAUUCUUUCGUUGCGCAGUCCUAUUGCUAUUGAUUUUCUUGGAAUAACAGAUAUUUUCCAUUGGAAAAAGCCACCUAUUUUCAUUCCUGGAAAACUUCAACUUGAAUUCCGACCAUCUCU
rnacentral:misc_RNA from 1 species